ACUAUAUUGUUCUGGUUCUUUAUUUUUCUUGAAGUUCUCGUAUGCAACACUCGUAUGAUAUAGGUACAAGGAUAUAAUCUUCUAAGCACUCUCUUAAUUUAGAGAAUGUUAAAAAAAAAGUUAACAUACAUUUGUUGGACACACACGUGUCUGAUACUCUCACUCGAGUCGAGUAAUAUAAAUUCCUAAAUUUUGAAGUCUGGAUCCUGAUACUGUUUAGGCAUUUGAGUUGUUUCAUGCACACGUGUCUGACAGGAUAAGUUUUCUGGCCAGGAUUAUGAGAGUGAGGAUAAGUUCCCCAUACCAGAUGAUCGCAUUAGUCACUUGCUGCCUACAUCUUAUCAGGAUAUGAUAGUGAGGGUAUUCGAAGAAACCUGAAUUGGUAGCAGCUGUCUCAGAGGCGUUUGAAAAUUUUCAACUAAAAGUCUACGGAGUUAAAGCUCAAGUGCACGACACCGGAGAAGAAGAAACGGCGCAUUUGAGG